rnacentral:rRNA from 1 species
GUAGUCCACGCCGUAAACGAUGUCUGCUAGCCGUUGGAUCCGUUAAGGAUUUAGUGGCGCAGCUAACGCGAUAAGCAGACCGCCUGGGGAGUACGGCCGCAAGGUUAAAACUCAAAUGAAUUGACGGGGGCCCGCACAAGCGGUGGAGCAUGUGGUUUAAUUCGAUGCAACGCGAAGAACCUUACCGCCCCUUGACAUCCUGCGAACUUUCUAGAGAUAGAUUGGUGCCUUCGGGAGCGCAGAGACAGGUGCUGCAUGGCUGUCGUCAGCUCGUGUCGUGAGAUGUUGGGUUAAGUCCCGUAACGAGCGCAACCCUUGUCCUUAGUUGCCAUCAUUUAGUUGGGAACUCUAGGGAGACUGCCGGUGACAAACCGGA